CCUACGGGAGGUAGCAGUGGGGAAUUUUCCGCAAUGGGCGAAAGCCUGACGGAGCAAUACCGCGUGAGGGAUGAAGGCCUAUGGGUUGUAAACCUCUUUUUUCAGGGAGGAAUAAAUGACGUGUACCUGAAGAAUAAGCAUCGGCUAACUCCGUGCCAGCAGCCGCGGUAAGACGGGGGAUGCAAGUGUUAUCCGGAAUCACUGGGCGUAAAGCGUCUGUAGGUGGUUAAAUAAGUCAACUGUUAAAUCUUGAGGCUUAACUUCAAAAUCGCAGUCGAAACUGUUUGACUAGAGUAUAGUAGGGUAAAGGGAAUUUCCAGUGGAGCGGUGAAAUGCGUAGAUAUUGGAAAGAACACCGAUGGCGAAGGCACUUUACUGGGCUAUUACUAACACUGAGAGACGAAAGCUAGGGUAGCAAAUGGGAUUAGAUACCCCAGUAGUCCUAGCUGUAAACAAUGGAUACUAGAUGUUGAACAGAUCGACCUGUGCAGUAUCAAAGCUAACGCGUUAAGUAUCCCGCCUGGGAAGUAUGCUCGCAAGAGAGAANACAAGAGUAGUAGACGNGNGAGAGCGACGACGACGACGACGAGGAGGAG
rnacentral:rRNA from 1 species